UACGGAGGGUGCAAACGUUGCUCGGAAUCAUUGGGCGUAAAGCGUGUGUAGGCGGUCUGUUAGGUCGGGUGUGAAAGCCCUGGGCUCAACCCAGGAAGUGCAUUCGAAACUAGCAGACUUGAGUACGGGAGAGGGUCGCGGAAUUCCCGGUGUAGAGGUGAAAUUCGUAGAUAUCGGGAGGAACACCAGUGGCGAAGGCGGCGACCUGGACCGAUACUGACGCUGAGACACGAAAGCGUGGGGAGCAAACAGG
rnacentral:rRNA from 1 species